rnacentral:rRNA from 1 species
UACGUAGGUGGCAAGCGUUGUCCGGAUUUACUGGGCGUAAAGAGCGCGCAGGCGGUCGUUCAAGUCGAGUGUGAAAGCCCCCGGCUCAACUGGGGAGGGUCACUCGAUACUGAUCGACUCGAAGGCAGAAGAGGGAAGCGGAAUUCCCGGUGUAGUGGUGAAAUGCGUAGAUAUCGGGAGGAACACCAGUGGCGAAGGCGGCUUGCUGGGACGGUACUGACGCUGAGGCGCGAAAGCGUGGGGAGCAAACAGG